AACAUCGCGCACCUGCGGGAACCUGCGGAAGGAUCAUUACAGAGUUCGUGCCCUCGCGGGUAGAUCUCCCACCCUUGUGUAUUCCUUACAUUUUGUUGCUUUGGCAGGCCGUUGGUUCGCCAACCACCGGCUCUACGGGCUGGUGCGUGCCUGCCAGAGGACCCCCCAAACUCGGUUUGUUAGUGUCGUCUGAGUAACCAUAACAAUCGUUAAAACUUUCAACAAUGGAUCUCAGAUCGG
rnacentral:misc_RNA from 1 species